rnacentral:rRNA from 1 species
UACGAAGGGGACUAGCGUUGUUCGGAAUCACUGGGCGUAAAGCGCACGUAGGCGGAUUCGUAAGUCAGGGGUGAAAUCCCGGGGCUCAACCUCGGAACUGCCUUUGAUACUGCGGGUCUUGAGUCUGAUAGAGGUGGGUGGAAUUCCUAGUGUAGAGGUGAAAAUUCGUAGAUAUUAGGAAGAACACCGGUGGCGAAGGCGGCCCACUGGAUCGGUACUGACGCUGAGGUGCGAAAGCGUGGGGAGCAAACAGG